rnacentral:rRNA from 1 species
GACGAACGCUGGCGGCGUGCUUAACACAUGCAAGUCGAACGGAAAGGCCCUGCUUUUGUGGGGUGCUCGAGUGGCGAACGGGUGAGUAACACGUGAGUAACCUGCCCUUGACUUUGGGAUAACUUCAGGAAACUGGGGCUAAUACCGGAUAGGAGCUCCUGCUGCAUGGUGGGGGUUGGAAAGUUUCGGCGGUUGGGGAUGGACUCGCGGCUUAUCAGCUUGUUGGUGGGGUAGUGGCUUACCAAGGCUUUGACGGGUAGCCGGCCUGAGAGGGUGACCGGCCACAUUGGGACUGAGAUACGGCCCAGACUCCUACGGGAGGCAGCAGUGGGGAAUAUUGCACCAUGGGCGGAAGCCUUAUGCAGCAACGCCGCGUGCGGGAUGACGGCCUUCGGGUUGUAAACCGCUUUCGCCUGUGACGAAGCGUGAGUGACGGUAAUGGGUAAAGAAGCACCGGCUAACUACGUG